GAUGAACGCUCGCGGCAGGCCUAACACAUGCAAGUCGAGGGGGAAGUUACUUUCGGGUGACUGAGACCGGCGUACGGGUGCGUAACGCGUAUACAAUCUGCCUUUCACUGGGGGAUAGCCCGAAGAAAUUUGGAUUAAUACCCCAUAGUAUAUAGGGACGGCAUCGUUUUUAUAUUAAAGCUUAGGUGGUGAAAGAUGAGUAUGCGUUCUAUUAGCUAGUUGGAGAGGUAACGGCUCCCCAAGGCGAUGAUAGAUAGGGGUUCUGAGAGGGAUGUCCCCCACACUGGUACUGAGAUACGGACCAGACUCCUACGGGAGGCAGCAGUGAGGAAUAUUGGACAAUGGCCGGAAGACUGACCCAGCCAUGCCGCGUGCAGGAUGAAGGUCUUAUGGAUUGUAAACUGCUUUUGUAAGGGAAGAAUAAGGGCUACGCGUAGUUUGAUGACGGUACCUUACGAAUAAGCAUCGGCUAACUCCGUG
rnacentral:rRNA from 1 species